rnacentral:rRNA from 1 species
AGGCCAAUCAAACCCGGAGAUAUCUCGUUCUCCCCGAAAUAGCUUUAGGGCUAGCCUCGGGCGCUUACCCUGGGGGGUAGAGCACCGGAUGGCCGCGGGGGCCUCACCGCCUACCAAAGCCAACCGAACUCCGAAUACCCAGGGCCCGGAGCCCGGGAGUCAGAACAUGUGGGCUAAGCUGUGUGUUCGAGAGGGAAACAGCCCAGACCGCCCGCCAAGGCCCCCAAGUCCGUGCCGAGUGGCAAAGGAUGUGCGUCUGCCCAGACAACCAGGAUGUUGGCUCAGAAGCAGCCACCCAUUCAAAGAGUGCGUAACAGCUCACUGGUCGAGUGGACAUGCGCCGACAAUAUACGGGGCUAAGCACGGCGCCGAAGCGGCGGACCGGACCCAGUCCGGUGGUAGGGGAGCUUCCCGUCAGGGGCGAAGCCGGGGGACGACCCCCGGUGGACCUGCCGGGAGUGAGGAUGCUGGCAUGAGUAGCGAGAGCGGCGUGACGAAACGCCGCCGCCGUGAACCCAAGGUUUCCUGGGCAAGGCUAAUCCUCCCAGGGUCAGUCGGGGGCUAAGGCGAGGCCGGAAGGCGUAGCCGACGCAUGGCAGGUCGACAUUCCUGCACCCCCGUGGUGGCGCUACGACCGAUGGGGCGACGGAGGAGGGUAGCUCGGCGGGGUUCUGGACGUCCCCGCGAUGGCGCGUAGGGCGGCACCUUGCGAAGCGCGGGUGCCACGUGCCCGAGGCGCCGGACGAAGCGACUUGAGCGAAGCGAGUGAGCCCAUGCUCCCGAGAAAAACCCCUAGGCAGCCGCCCGGGGCCCGUACCGCAAACCGACACAGGUGGGUGGGUAGAGUAUACCAAGGCGAUCGGGAGAACCAUGGUUAAGGAACUCGGCAAAAUCACCCCGUAACUUCGGGAGAAGGGGUGCCGCCUCGGGUGAUGGGACCCAGCUCCCGGAGCCCCGGGCGGCCGCAGCGAAUAGGUCCAAGCGACUGUUUACCAAAAACACAGGACUCUGCUGAAGCCGUAAGGCGACGUAUAGGGUCUGACGCCUGCCCGGUGCCGGAAGGUCACGAGGAGCCGUCAGCUUCGGCGAAGCGGCGAAUCCAAGCCCCGGUAAACGGCGGCCGUAACUAUAACGGUCCUAAGGUAGCGAAAUUCCUUGUCGGGUAAGUUCCGACCUGCACGAAAGGCGUAACGACUUGGACGCUGUCUCAACCAUGGCCCCGGCGAAAUUGCACUAGUCGUGAAGAUGCGACUUACCCGCAGAAGGACGGAAAGACCCCGUGAACCUUUACUGCAGCUUGGCAUUGGCCGCCGGUCCGUCGCGUAGAGGAUAGGUGGGAGACCGUGAACCCGGGACGCCAGUCCCGGGGGAGUCGCCCUUGGAAUACCACCCCCGACGAACUGGCGUCCUAACCCGCGGCCGUGACCCGGCGCGGGGACCGUGCCAGGUGUACGGUCGUGGAAGAACGGGUGCACCGGCUCCUCCGGCAGAUGAGGCACCACCCGGGAGAUGGUGUCGCGCAUGCGGUUGAAGUAGGGCGAAACGUUCUGGUAAUUCUUGCGCGCCUUGCGGAGCUUGGACGAGGAGAUCAGGUACAUGGCGUUCGUGAUCUUCAUGGUGUCCUGAAUGCUCUCAAUGCGCUCUUUCAGCAGCUUACUGGACGGCAUGGCUGUCGCCUCCCGCAUAUGCUUUCCAGGCGUUCAGGAUGGCAUCGACCUCAUCGGGUUCGAGCUUGCCGGUGGCGGUGAUCUUGUCCAUCGUGCCGGACACAUCCGCGCGGAACUGGCGCACAAAUGCGGAAGUCUUGGUGCGCAGCUCGGCCGUGGGGAUCUCGUCGAGCACGCCAUGCGAAGCCAGCGUGAGCAGGACCACCUGCUCUGCGUCAGACUUAGGCUGAUACAGCGGCUGCUUGAGCAUCUCCAUCAGGGCCUUGCCGUGAUCCAGCUGGCGGCGGGUCUCGGCGUCCAGAUCGGAGCUGAACUGUGCAAAGGACUCCAUAUCCUUGUACUG